rnacentral:rRNA from 1 species
UACAGAGGUCUCAAGCGUUGUUCGGAUUCAUUGGGCGUAAAGGGCGCGUAGGCGGUGGGGUAAGUCUGGUGUGAAAUCUCGGAGCUCAACUCCGAAAUUGCACUGGAUACUGCUCUGCUAGAGGGCUGGAGAGGAGAUCGGAAUUCACGGUGUAGCAGUGAAAUGCGUAGAUAUCGUGAGGAAGACCAGUGGCGAAGGCGGAUCUCUGGACAGCUCCUGACGCUGAGGCGCGAAGGCUAGGGGAGCAAACGGG